AUGCAGUGAUGACUAAAAAUGUAACACAUCAUGCUGACAACACCAUGGUGAACCAUAAACACUGAGCAUA